CAGACAGGUGCUGUUGUGAGUUUGCUUUUAUUUUCAAGAUCAAGCCCCUUCUAUAAUCUUGACAUAAUUUAGUGUGUGUGUGUGUGUGUGUGUGUGUGUGUGUGUGUGUGUGUGUGUGUGUGUGUGUGUGUGUGUGUGUGUGCGCGUGUGUGUGCACAGCCUGAGCCCGUGUGUAUAUGGCUUGGCAUGUCUGAGGCGAGCCCCGUAUAAUCGCUGCAUAACUCUGAUGCAAUAAUCACAUGUAAAUGACCACGGCAUGGAAAUGUGCUCUCUUGGUUUACAUAAUCUUGUAAUGACCCCUUGUAACACACUGUCUGUGAUAUUGGCCCUAAUAGAAUGUUCUUGCUCUGUGUUUUUUUUUUUUAACCCAACUUAUUUUUGUAGCUCCAGCCUGGAAUUACACAGAGCGCAAGCCCGGCCUAUUAGCACCAUGACAUGAGUGAUUUAAUUUACCCUCUCUCUUUCUCUCUCUCUGUCUCUCCUCCUAUUUAGCAUGCAACAGGCGUGGGCAGUAAUGCCUGUGUGAUUGGGCUGUGCUGGGUGAUGAUUUUAAUAAACACACACCCGCAGAGGUGGCCACAGGUCAACCGUGUUUGGAUUCAUCAGGUGCACAGGACGCAAGCUGGAAUGAAAAGCUUGGUGGUGGGCUGGAUCCACACCUGGACCAUAUUUCACCAGGGUGCAUACUAGAGAAUGGAUUGGAUCAUAGGUGAAAGUGUAUUCUUACCUGGAUAAUGCUUAUCAGGGAAAUUUGAGGCCAGCCCAGGUCUCCUCCUGGGAGGAGCACCCAGAAUACGCCCAUAUCGGGUGGGUCCUUUCUCAACAACAAUGCUCCACCUGGGGGCAAAUAGCUGCAUAACAUUAGGAAUCAACAAUUUACCGGCACUGGGUAUGUAAAACAAAUAGCUGAAAUUCCUAGUACCUCUGGUACUGUCAGCUGGUUGACUAGUUGCUUAUAUCCCUAGUUUAUAUUGCACAAAGCAAUCAAUAACU
ensembl:lncRNA